rnacentral:rRNA from 1 species
ACAGCAGCAGCCGCCACGGUAAGACAGAGGAUGCAAGCGUUAUCCGGAAUGAUUGGGCGUAAAGCGUGCGUAGGCGGCUUCUUAAGUCGGAUGUGAAAUCCCUGAGCUUAACUUAGGAAUUGCAUUCGAUACUGGGAAGCUAGAGUAUGGGAGAGGAUGGUAGAAUUCCAGGUGUAGCGGUGAAAUGCGUAGAGAUCUGGAGGAAUACCGAUGGCGAAGGCAGCCAUCUGGCCUAAUACUGACGCUGAGGUACGAAAGCAUGGGGAGCAAACAGGAUUAGAUACCCCUGUAGUCCCUGUCUCUUA